CAUUAACAGCGGAGAUGAAUCACUUCCACAGUAAUCGAAUUUAUGAUUAUAAUACUGUGAUGCGUCUGUACCUGGAACAGCAGGCACAAUUCUAUGAAACGAUUGCACAGAAACUGAGGCAGGCUCUCAGUCGCUUUCCUAUGAUGUAGCUGAAGGCAGAUGAAGAACAACAACUCCAAAGUGCUUUUUUUGAUUAUUGAUGGGGGAAGUGCAAAUAAAGAAGUGGAAGACUUUGCCAUCCAAAAAGCCUUUUUCAAAAAGAUAAUUUCUAAAAAAUGAACCUUAGAAAAGAAGAAAAACUUUACAUGUUUACUUUGUUAGCCUUAUAGCCCUGGAUAUUUAUCAUUAUUUUUUACCCUACAUGUUUUCCUUCCCUAGCUGUUAUUGAAAUGAAGCUGGAAAGUACUGUAUUUGAUGAGACUAAAUUGCCAAAGUUGGUUUGCCAGAUACUAAAAAAAAAAAAGAUAUAUUGUUCUAAACCGGAGUGGACAAACAUAUGGAUAUUUGGAUUUAUUUUUUUUUAGUUUAACUACUUUGCCCAUGUUAGGUAAGAGUUAAGCAUCCUAAUCUCUUCAAAAGCAUAAAAUGAUCAGAUCUUAAAAGGAUAAGAAAGCCAACAUUAGGAUCUAUAGAUAUAUAAUUGUUAAACUGCCUUCUAGCUUUCAGGUAAGUUCUAUGGAGAGAUUCAUCCCAUUUCUACUAUAGCCAUAACAUUAAUUUUCUGUAAUAUAUAUAAAUAUAUAUUUAUAUGGAUUACUUCUCCUUAAGGGCUGUUCUUGUACCUCAGAUGCCUUCUAAGGCUGUGAUAUUUUCUUCCUGCGUUUAUAUACAGUAGAUACAGAUAUUCUGAACAUCUGGAAAAAACUGUUCCAUCCAGUGGUCCAAGCCAUACACACUUAACAAAUUAUCAAUUUAUGUAUUAGGGUUUCCCCCCUUUUACAUCCUUAUAUUUAGUAGCACAUACCUAAUCAUAACCAACAUGAUAGGAAAUUUUCUAAGCUCAUUGCUGUAUGUUGAGUCCUUCAGUCAUAACAUGGUAUCUUGUACUGUUUCAUCAGGAAAAUUAAAUCAUUCAGAUUUAAAAUAUAGGUUAGGAUUAACAGAACAUUAGCUACUUAACAAUGGACUCUGCUUGCAAUGUUAGGUUCAAUUCAUAAAUAUCAAUUUAUAUAUAGAUUAUAGGUCACACAGACCUGAACUGUGGAAAACUGAAUGAAAAGAUAUAUUCAUAAACAAGCCAUUGAGCUAAAUGCAGCUUUCUAUUUAAUUUUGAUUGAGAAGUAAAGAACUUUGCUUUUUUAUUAUCAAGCAAGUGCUAUAUGCAUUCUGAAAGUUUGUCUUAAUAUGGCAUUGUCAUUCUGUUCCAGUAAUUAUGAGAUCAAUAAAGUAUUUGAAUCUGUCAAAUGAAUAGGCCUAUCAAACCAAACCACAUCAAAUUAGAAUGUAAUCUUGACACAAAUGCUGUUCUUCGUUGUUUUUAGUGACAUUUUUUCCACAAACUUGUUUUAUUUUUAAUUUAGUUGCCUUCUAAAAUUCUAUAAAAUGUUAUAUAGCCACUGAAAUAAAUGUACAAAUUGUAAAGAAUGUGUAUAAAUGUUUUACACCAAAUGUAAUAAAGAUUUCAUCUUGCAUAUA